rnacentral:rRNA from 1 species
UACGGAGGGCGCAAGCGUUGUUCGGAAUCACUGGGCGUAAAGCGCGUGUAGGCGGCCGAGCAAGUCGGUUGUGAAAUCCCGAGGCUCAACCUCGGAACUGCAAUCGAAACUGCUCGGCUCGAGUCCCGGAGAGGAUGGCGGAAUUCCCGGUGUAGGGGUGAAAUCCGUAGAUAUCGGGAGGAACACCAGUGGCGAAGGCGGCCAUCUGGACGGUGACUGACGCUGAGACGCGAAAGCGUGGGGAGCAAACAGG